rnacentral:lncRNA from 1 species
ACUGCGCCAUAUGACCAGGCUAAUAAACAAAUCACUGGUUUAUAUUACUUGAAGAGAACAGUUGACAAAAUUUAACAUAAACACUCUUCGGAAGGGAAACCACACAUGCUCACCACACACGCGCACACACACAUACACACACACACACACCACUUGCAGUUUCUGUGGGGCCCCAGAGAGAGUUUAUCUUUCAUUCCACUGUGCCCCAACCAUGCUGAACAGAAGCAGCUGGCGGUCUGAAUCCCUGCAGAAAUGGUGUCAGAAGGACUGAGCCCCACCCGACAUCAAUGAGAAUGCAUAAGUGCUACAGGCUGGAACUAGGAAACACCCCACUUCCCCCACAUAACUCCUUUGAAAGAGUGGCUGAAGUUUUCAACUCAAGAUGGUCACCCUGCUUAUCACACAGAACCAGAUGCUUCAGCACCUUGGAGAGCUCCACAAGACCCACAGACCCGGGCCCCCCAACCACAAGAAAUAUAAUAAAAUACUGCUUUGAGACUCAAUUUCAGCACUUAGCUACAUAAAUAAAAGUUCCAGGAAGACUAAAUCUUAGAACCAACAGGGAGAUGAGCACUUCCAGAGUUUCAUCAGCUUCCAAAUGAUAUUUAAAUAUGAGAACGUGAGGCCUGGCUGGGCCUGUGGUGAAAUCUCCAUAACAGCAUCCUUGUAAUAAAUGCUGAAAUUCAUGCAA